GAGAGAGAGAGGGAGGGAGGGUGAGACAGAGAGGGAAGGGGGGAGAGAGAGAUGGGUAGACAGAGAGGGAAGGGGGAGACAGAGAAAGAGAAGGGGGAGAUGGGGGAGACAGAGAGAAGGGGGAGAGAGGGGGGGAAACAGAGAGAGAUUUGAUAGUUGAGAGAAACCUGUGUUUGGCCCUUUUCUCAUUCAUGUAAGUUUGAGGAGAGGCAGUGCGACGAGAUUUCAAUUGACAUAAUAUGUAAGUAAGCUCUGUAUUUAUAUCCUAAAGUAGGCCCAUUUAUUUGUGAUCAAAUUUGAAUUUUUCAUUCAAACUAGAGUUGGGUUCAAUACUUAGGCUCGGAUCUAAUCCAGUCAGGUUGGAGUUGGGUUCAAUAGUUAGGCUCGGAUCUAAUCCAGUCAGGUUGGAGUUGGGUUCAAUACUUAGGCUCGGAUCUAAUCCAGUCAGGUUGGAGUUGGGUUCAAUACUUAGGCUCGGAUCUAAUCCAGUCAGGUUGGAGUUGGGUUCAAUACUUAGGCUCGGAUCUAAUCCAGUCAGGUUGGAGUUGGGUUCAAUACUUAGGCUCGGAUCUAAUCCAGUCAGGUUGGAGUUGGGCUCAAUAGUUAGGCUCGGAUCUAAUCCAGUCAGGUUGGAGUUGGGUUCAAUACUUAGGCUCGGAUCUAAUCCAGUCAGGUUGGAGUUGGGUUCAAUAGUUAGGCUCGGAUCUAAUCCAGUCAGGUUGGAGUUGGGUUCAAUACUUAGGCUCUGAUCUAAUCCAGUCAGGUUGGAGUUGGGUUCAAUACUUAGGCUCGGAUCUAAUCCAGUCAGGUUGGAGUUGGGUUCAAUAGUUAGGCCGGAAUUCAAUCUAUUCAGGUUGGAGACAAUGCUGCUUUUAAAGGCAAUGUUCCCACGUUAGCAGAGACCUCAUUAAAAUGCUGCGUAUGUAGACUCAACCAGAAAUAACCUUUAAGUGGAGCAUUGUCCAAAGACUGUGAUUAGAUUGAAUCCCAGUCUAUAAAGGUGGGUUGGGCACACCCAGGUUAUCCAUGUGAAGGAAUGAUCUCUGUCAGUGCUCUGCCCUUUACGGGGUGGCAGGUAGCCUAGUGGUUAGAGCAUUGGAAUAGUAACCAAAUCCCCGAGCUGACAAGGUAAAAAUCUGUUGUUCUGCCCCUGAACAAGGCAGUUAACCCACUGUUCCUAGGCCGUCAUUGAAAAUAAGAAUUUGUUCUUAACUGACUUGCCUAGUUAAAUAAAGGUAAAAUUUUAAAAACUAAACCUUGACCAUCAUAAUAACACACAUACCUGUUACCUCAUAGGCUUAAACCUGCAAUGACUGACCUUUGAACUCCUCGCUGUAAUAGCAGUUGCCAAUUGCCAUGAACAAGCCUUGUCAAUCAUUAUCCAGCUCAGAGCAACAGACUGACUUAAGACCUAUACAGUGUGUUCACAGGUGACAAUGACAUCUAAGAACUAGCUAUGUGGACAUUGCAGAGACCUAUCUCUAUCUC